AUGAUUGAGAAUAUGGAAAAAUAUAAUUAUGGUGCAGGGACUACAUUCCUUGCAUGGAAUUUCGACGGGGAGAAGUUCCAAAUCCCAGUGACGAAAGACAAUCUGGAGAGACACAAGAACUGG